CGCUCUAGAUUACAGCCUGGAAAGAACUGCGUAAUUACAAAGAAUUUACAGCGUAACUUUCAAUAAUUAUAGUGUAACUAUACAGUAAGUAUGGCUGCACGAUUCAUUG